AUGAAAAUGAUGCUCAUUGUCUGGAAGCACUAUUGCGCUUCUUCAUUUUUUUUUUUUCUUCUCCAUUUCAAGCUAAGAGAAAGGAGGAAGAGAGGCAGAAAAGGAGUCAAAGAAGGACGGUGGAAAGGAGAGAGGAAGGAAAACGAAGGUUCCAGGAAAGACUCCAACCACCUGAGCAGCAUGUGCAGGGCCUCCAGCUGCUACAUCCUGAAGUGUGAUCCUGUCGCUGUCACAGUUGAAGGAAGACUGUGUCCCAGCAGUGCCUUGACUAAGAGGCCUCUCUCAGAGAUACGAGGGUGGCAUCGGAUGGCGCUCCAGCUACCACAAGUAAGGAGGGGUCUCACCACACCAGGCUAGGCCAGAACAUCCCCUCGAGUCUGCAGACAUUUCGGACAUAACCCCGUAUCCCACCAUAAAGAUAUUUAGAGAGUUCGCUGUGCUCAAGUGCAAAAUAAUCAGGUGAGGAUUUUGCACAGUCCCUAAGAAAUAGACAAUUCUCGUAGGUGGGGAAUGGACCUGACUUGCCAGAUGCCACCAAAACUCUAAUCAGACUUACAAUCUAGAAGGCUGAUUCCCCGCCCCCCACAAUGAGCUGCCUUGGACACCAGUUAAAUAGUCAUUCCUCAAAGGAUGUUUCCCUUACAACCUCCCUCCACCCCCCCUCCAAAACCAUUACCCACAUUCAUAAAGAGAUUGCCUCCCCCUAACCCUUGACUAUUAUCUCAGCACAAGAAGAAAUCUAUGCUAAAAAUAGAAAUUACCAUGUUUCCUAAGUGGCUCCCUAAACAGCAGGGAGCCUGAGUCCACUCUCAAUGCUCCCGGCCAAUCUGUUGGUCAAUAAAAUUUACUUGACGUCUCAGCUCUCCGCCUUCCUGGGUGUGGAGAAAAGAGAACUUUCCUGCACUGUUGGUGGGAAUGUAAGCUGGUACAACCACUAUGGAGAACAGAAUGGAGGUAUCUCAGAAAACUAAAUAUAAAACUACCAUAUGAUCUAGCAGUGCCACUCAUGGGCAUAUAUCCAGACAAAACUUG
rnacentral:lncRNA from 1 species